rnacentral:tRNA from 1 species
UUUAGGGUGGCUGAGGAUUUAGGCACAAAGCUUUUAACUUUGGAACAGUUGGAUAACUUCCUGGGA